AUGAAGAACGUAGUGAAAUGCGAUACGUAGUGUGAAUUGCAGAAUUCAGUGAAUCAUCGAAUCUUUGAACGCACAUUGCACCUCUCGGUAUUCCGGGAGGUAUGCCUGUUCGAGCGUCAUUUGUACCCUCAAGCUCUGCUUGGUGUUGGGUGUUUGUUCCGCCUCUGUGUGUGAACUCGCCUCAAAACAAUUGGCAGCCGGCGUACUUGUUUCGGAGCGCAGCACAUUUUGCGAUCCAGAUCAACGUACAGCGGCAUCCAAGAAGCCUUAUUUAACGCUCUUGACCUCGGAUCAGGUAGGGAUACCCGCUGAACUUAAGCAUAUCAAUAAGCGGAGGA
rnacentral:misc_RNA from 1 species